GUUGGGAUAGGUAGAACUUCCUUUUUAAGCUGCCACCAAUGUUCGGCUUCACCGGUUAGCAUAAAGGCUGCUAGGGAAGCUUUUUGUUCCUUGUUUAGGUCUAAGAUAGAGAAAAACUUCUUUAUCUACAGGAUCCAAGCUUUGGCUACUUAGGGGUCGGGGCCUCAUUCAAAGUGGGGUGGAUUAAAUUUCUUAAACUCUACUAU
rnacentral:lncRNA from 1 species